rnacentral:misc_RNA from 1 species
AACCAUAGAAACCUGCGGAGUACCUGCGGAGGGAUCAUUAUAGUACAUGGAAUCUCCAUUCUAUAAACCCACUCUGCGUAUCUUGUAACUGUUGCUUCCAUGGGACUUGGUUCCGCCACACCGGCUUCACGGCUGGUGAGCGCCCAUGGAAGGAGAAACAAAACUCUUCUUUGAAAUGUAGUCAGUCUGAACAAGUUUUUAUAAACGUUAAAACUUUCAGCAAUGGAUCUCAGAUCGGAA